CUCUUGAACCCGGGAGGUGGAAGUUGCAGUGAGCAAAGAUCAUGCCACCGCACUCCAGCCUGGGUGACAGAGUGAGACUCCAUCUCAAAAAAAAAAGGAAAAGAAAAAAAUAGACAUCAUACUUGAUGCUGGAGAAAUCGCUAUCUUUCUCUGAGUCUCAGUUUCCCUCUGAGUCUGUUUCCUUAUCUGUGAAAUGGGGACAACAUUUAUUUCAGUGGGUCAUUGUGAGAAUUAAGUGAGAGGAGCUGGAUCAGGAUUUAUAUGUCCAGGCUCAUGUUUCUGAAGCUGGAUUUGGAGCCAGACUGAGCAGGGCUUUGGAGGAAAGUAUAGGAAGUUUGGAAUUAUAUUCUAUAGAUGAUGGGGAAUGAUAUUCACUCAUCCAUGAAUUAUUUCAUUCAACUUCUAUUCAUUGGAAAGAUAAUGAUGAAUAAAGUAAAUUACAUUCAUGUACUUUUGGAGCUUAGAAUUUUUAAUGUGCAACAGAUGUAAUUAUAUAAUCACACAAAUAUAUAAAUUGGUAGCAUUUAAGAUAAGGAGGGGCUGAUGUAGAUGGGGGAGAAAUUCAGAAAGGUUUUCUUGAAGAAGCAACAGUAGUGCUGAGACAUGAAAGUGGGUCGGUGAACGGGUAGGGGCUCAUUCUACGCAGAGCAAACAUGAUCUAUAUAGAAGUCUUCAUGGGGUGAAAGGGAGGGUGGCCCAUUAAUAAAAAGGGCGAGGAUGGUUGGAGCCUGUGAUGAAGGGAAAAAGUUGUAUGCAAUAAGGUUGGAGAGGUAAAGGCUGGAGAGAUGGGCAGGGGGGUGGCUAGAUCAGGUAGCACUUUGCAAGACAUUGUAGAAUGUCUUUGGAUUUUUCAUAAAGAGCAGUGGGACACAUUUGAUGGGUUUAAAGCAGGGAAAUGGCAAGCUUAUAUUUGCUUUAUACUAGGAUCUCUUUUGCGGCUGAGAAUGGAUUGGCUCAGAGCAAAUAGGGAAGAUGGAGAUCAUGGGAGGAAAUUGCAGUAGUCCAGGGGAAAGACAAAUGGUUCCACCAAUGGCCAUAAUGGUAGAGCUAGAAAGAAAAGGAUGGCUUCAGCAUAUAUUUAGGAGAUAAAAUUGGCAGUUUUGAAAUAGUGAGGUGACGAUGAAGGAGGAGAAGGUAUCGAGGAUGACUCCUAAGCUUUCUUCUUGCCAGAAGGAUAGUGGCAGUGUUUACUGACACUUUAAAGAUAGAGGAUUAGAGAAUGCUGUUUACCAGUCUUGUUGAGACAGACUUUUCUUAUUCUGUGGCUGUCCUGUGGGAAUUUAUUGUGUCUCUAUACCUAUAUUUAUUCUCCCUUCUAGUGUCCUCUGUGGUUCUGGGCUCACAAGAGGGCACCUGGCAAGGGUACAGAAUUGUAGAGUGAGGGAUACCUCAAGCACCAACUAUUCCACCACCUCAUUUUAUGAAGAGACAAAGAGAUCUGUGACUGGUGACCCCAGAGUGAGGGAGCCACAGAGCUGGCUUACAACUCUUAGGCCUGGGUCCUCUUCAUUGCUUCUGCUGCUAUGUACCCUUUGAUAGAUGAAGAGAAUGUAAUGAAGAGCUGUCCAUUGCAACCCUCUUGUUCAAAACCCCUCAAUACUUACCGUAAUCCAAUUAAAGACUUUAUUCUUUAAGCAAGCCCUCACUUCUGGCAUUCAAAUUGCUUGUAAGGAUUAACUGAGUUAAUACAGACAAAACAUUUAGAAAGUUCCUGGGACAGACUAAACACUAUGUAAGUCUUUGCUUCUGGUAUGUUGUCACCCUAUAUGGCCCCAUAACAGAGAUCCCCAGUAUCCAUUCUCCUCUCCUCUCUUCUUUCAAUAACACAACAACCUUUUCUGCCAAGUUUGGUUGGGCACAUGGCGGCCUGAGCAGUCACUAUGUUUCCCAGCUUCCCUUGCAGCUAGGUGUGGUCAUGUGACUAGGUUCAGGCCAAUGGAGGGAACAUGGAGGAAAGGUGAGUGCCAUUCUCAUUUCUAGAAGAUUCCAGGCCAUUUCCUAAAAGGCAAACCUGUCUGUUCCUGACUCUGUGUCCUUAUUUCCCUCUGGCUUAGAUAUGGCAACAACUGGGACAGCUGCCUUGGACCAAGGAUGGAAGCCCCAUGUUGAGGACAGUAGAGCUGAUCUAGAAGCCUGAGUCACUAGGUGACCAUUUAUAGCAGAGCUGCUGCUGCCCCUACCCGCUGAAAUCCUAGGACACUCACCAAAGGUUACUCCUGUGAGGGUGGAACAGACUGCUCUCUUAUGCCUUUGCUCACGCUGUUUCCACAACUGAAAUGUCUCUUCAGUACACAUAUUAAAUGUCUCAAUAGUGUUGCCUAGAGAAAAGCACACAGACUUUGUGAUUAGAGAGGACUGAAUUUGAAUCCUGG
rnacentral:lncRNA from 10 species